AGAGGAGCCACAUUUGCAGUACUGAAUAGCCACAAAUGACUAGUGGCUCCUGUAUUGAACAGCACAGUUCUGGGAUAUCAAAGAAUAUAAGCUAUGAGAACAGUUCACAAAUGUAUCCUCCCAGACCUAGCAGAGUGAUUGGUAUAUA